GGACUGGGAGUAUGAUCACAGGUUAGCUGAGGACUGGGAGUAUGAUCACAGGUUAGCUGAGGACUGGGAGUAUGAUCACAGGUUAGCUGAGGACUGGGAGUAUGAUCACAGGUUAGCUGAGGACUGGGAGUAUGA